rnacentral:rRNA from 1 species
GACGAGCUCUCCGAACGUUAUUCGGUAUCACUGGGCUUAAAGAGUUCGUAGGCGGUCUGGUAGGUGAGGUGUGAAAUCCCCCCGGCUCAACCGGGGAACUGCGCUUCAAACCACCGGACUUGAGGGAGACAGAGGUGGGCGGAACAGAUGGUGGAGCGGUGAAAUGCGUUGAUAUCAUCUGGAACACCGGUGGCGAAAGCGGCCCACUGGGGUCUUUUCUGACGCUGAGGAACGAAAGCUAGGGUAGCGAACGGG